rnacentral:tRNA from 1 species
GUCCUCGUAGUUUAAUGGAUAGAAUGUGGGCUUCCGGAGCCUAUGAUGGCAGUUCGAAUCUGCCCGGGGACA